UUUAGCAGCAGGUAGGAGUCAGCAGAAAUAUAUAGCCUCCCAGGUUCUAAACUACAACCCCCAGCAUGCAAUGGGCUGCAGUUUAGCAGCAGGGAGGACUACCCAACCCUGAUAGAGGAGGGAAGAGAGAGUUCCAAUGACUGCAGCUCAAAAUAGAUACAAUUGUUCCCCUCACUCGCCUCCUAGCCAUACUCAGUAGCUGCUGCAUAUGAGCAGUGUAGCUUUAUAAGGGUCCCAGGAGCCCUAAACAUUCCCCCUGUGGGAAGCAGCCAGUGAUGGCGGCAGGUUGCGCACUGUGAGGGCUGCAUUGAGAGAACAAUAGCGCCAAAGGCCGGGGCCACAUGUGAGGGUAAGAGACGGAAGUGACGCUUUUCGCCAUGUGUAGGGCACCUCCCACUUGCCUCAGUGCGCUGCCUGCCGCUCAUAUACAGGUAGUGAUUAGUGACACAGUACAGUAAGCCCUUUAUGCUCCCCCCCCUCUCUGAGACCCCUAAUAGCGGCCCAGCAAAGGCGCCUUUGUUUUAGCACAAAAUCGCGGCUGCACUAGUCAGUUACGAAACAAGGUCCAAAUGGCUCCCGUUUUCCUUUCUCCCCGCCUCGCUUCCUGCUGGCGGCCAUUUGCAGGCCCGGGCACCCAGAGCAGCUAUGGGGGGAGGGGCAUGCCGCCUAGCCUUACCUCGCUUUCUGCGCUCAAUACCGCUACAAGAACACUGGUAUCAAGUGCAAGGCCACAUGCAAAUCAUUCGCCCCCCGGCCUUCUUGUCUCAGCUACUCUGCAAUAAACCCGCCUUUCCUCACAGUCACACUGUAACAGCCUGCCCAGGCGCUAAUAGCGCCACUCCGCAGCGCCAUACUCACAUCCAUUGCGCCCCGAGGCAUAGCACAGCGCUCUCUCCCGAAUGGUGCUGCUGCUUCUCCUGCCGAGCGGGAAGAAGAGGAAGAGAAGGCGC